rnacentral:lncRNA from 1 species
AGAACCCGAGCAGCAGGAGAGUGGGCAGCAGGGGGUGUCUGGCAGCAGAGAGGGGCUCAGGCCUGCUGGGUGGAGCGGCGCUGGGGGACACAGAGCCUGGUGGUAGGGAGACCUCCGGAUGGAGACAGCCCACAGUCCCGGAGCCCCAAGGCAGGCACCAGUGAGUCCCUCGUGACGGCCUCGCUCCCUGCAUCACAUGGAACCUCGUGACCCACGUGACGACGCCAGUGCCCCCGUGGCCCCUUCCUGCUGCUGGACGUGAUGCAGUCAAUGGAAGCCCAGGUCUGUCACGCACCGCCUGUGCUUGCCCAGAGCAGGUCCCAGUCACCCCCUCUGGCACCGCCUGCUGCACACCAGGAACCCCCACCUCCAGCAAGCCCAUCUGCCAGACGCCUGGCCCAGGACCGCCCCCUGCCCCUCGACUGCCCCCUGCCCCUCCUGGUCCUGACUUCAGCCAGGUGACCCCCUCCAGGGUCCAGCCCUGGCCCCUGGGGGACUCAGUGGCAUCUGGUGGAAAGGACCUUGGGGAUUGCGCCCACCCUCACCUGCAGGAGAGUUGGCAGGGUGGCCAGCCACAGGAAUCUGUGGCAGGAGCCCGGGGACCUGCACCCCAACUAGAAAGUGUGCAGCCCUGCAGGCCGGCCCUGGAGAGGGAGCAGGCAGGGGUGAAGUUAGGCCGGCUGUGGUGUGCGACACCGUCCUGUGGGGCCAAGCGUCCCGAGCUCCAGAGGCAGGUGCACUCCUGGCCAGCAUCCAGGGUGGACGAGCCCAGACCCCAAUACUCUGAGGCAGGGUGGGGGACCAGGUGGCACCCAGUGGAGGAAAAGCCCCCAAGAGACACGCAGGAGCAUGGACUCCCACCCCACAGCUGGAGCCUGGGAGAGGAGCCCCAUCUGCUGUUUCCCUGGUGCACUCACAUCCUGGCCCUCAGCGCCCCCUGCCAGGAAUGUCCCCCACAUGCAGAGCCAUGUGGGUCUUGCAAGGAAGAAGAAGGGGGCCCCUUGCAUCCUCCACUCCCGGGGGCCCCAGGAGGGCAUGGGGGCUCCAGGGUGCAGGGACAGCACGUUCCCUCACCAACUCCCCAAGAACGCCCAACCUCCAAGAGCAGACACAGCGCCUACACCUGCCGGUACGGGGCUCCAACCCCACUCUCUCAGAUACGUCCUCCAGAGUCGUCUCAUCCACCCCACCCUGGGGAGGAGGGAAACUGAGGCAUGGCAAGAGACAAGACUAACACAGGCAUCAGUGAGACUCAGCCCCUCCUGCCCCUUCCUCCAUGCCCCUCCUACCCCGACUUCAGCUCCCACACCAAGGCCCCAAGCCUGACAUAGGGCCCCAGGUGCCAGGCCUCAAGGGGGCUGAAGGGAGCCCAUCUGCCCCACCGAGGGCACAGACAGUGCCAGGUCUUUGCUGAAAUGUCACCUCUUCCUUGAGGCCUUCUCUGAUUGCUGAGUAAGCCCUGUCCCCGCUCCCUGCUCCCCGUAUCCGCCCGCCUCGGCCCUCCGUCCCUUUUCUCCCUUCUCUGUGGCCUGCCCGCUCUCACAGAAUGCAGACUCCAGGGGUCCAGGGUGUUACCUCCCGGGCAGCAGGAGGAAAUGUCCUGGGCUCCCCACCCAGCGCUCAGCGCCCCCCGCUAAGUACAGCACUCACUCCUUCAUCCAUUCAGCGUGGGCUCUCCCGGCACCAGCACCGCCAGGCCCUGUGCAGGACCCCAGGGUCAUCAGGAAGGAAAUGAGGCAGCCCAAGGAGGCGGGAGACGGGGCCCUACCCAGCACCCAGCCAUCUGCAUUGACACGGCUGCCCGCAGGAUAUCACUGCCCCCAUCCCGGGGCCCACCAUUACCAGCAGGGAGAGGGAGGCAGGAACAUGCAACGGCUGAGCCAGCCCAGAGAGGCAGCGGAGCGUGUGCGGGGCGGCCGGCGGAGGAGCAGCAGGAUCCCAGGCGGGAGCGCACGGCCUUUUCGGAGGCAGGUUCCAGGACAAUACUAAGCGUUUACAUCAUUGCACUAUUUGAUCCAGGAGGUCCCACUGUGGCGUUUCAUCGAUAAACGCACAUGCGAGGUGGAGGGUGGCUGGUGUGGAAUGUGCCCGGCAGCCUUCAUAGCAAAGGAGAAUUCUAGAACCAACCGAAGUGCCCCUCUGAAGGGAGCUGGUCCCGUCCGUUCCAGCCGCCGUGGAGUAACACAGCCAGCAGUUUCCCUCCUGCCACGAAAGCUCGAGACUGAAACUCAGGAUGAACUGUUUUCAGCCCGGGUCACCCCAGCCCUGGGGUGGAGGCCCAUUGAGGAUGGCCGAGCAGGGGCGGGCAUCCAGGCAGGUCCAGCAGUCCUGGCGGGCUGAGGAGAAGGAGGUCAGUGCUCAGGGAGACAUCCGCAGAGGGACCUGGCAGGCAGAGCUCCAGAAGGGAGGGAACUGCACAGACAGAAAGCUCCAGAAGGCUGCCUGAGGGCCUCUGAGGCCUCCGGAGUCAGGCGCCAUGGAUGUGGAAGGUGGACUCUUCAGCAUGGAUGGGACCCUAGGGGGCUGUGGACCCCCGGCCCCUGGGACUCACAGGUGGGAGACAGGAGUUCCAACCGCCAGGGGGAGAGUCCUGGAGGAUCCUGGGCUGUUGGCAGCCACCCAGCAGGGCCCGUCCUGGGAGUGGGGCUGGACUCUUCCUGCAGGAAAGGCUGGGCUGGACCUGCUCUGAGAGGCUUCAGAACCAGCCACACGAAGACCAAAGUGAAGAGCAAGGAGCUGAACUCCACGCAGAACACAGCGCAGCGUCCUUUAAAGGAAGGCCAAAAACAACCCAACAAAAAUGCCAGGUGAUCAAAGCGGUCACAGCACAAUGUCCACAUCCAACGAGAAAUUGCUACUACGUCCAGACGCAGGGAAAGGUGGCCGUGGGAACGUGAGUCAGCAGCAACAGGCCCAGAAGGGCAGCCACGGUGGACUUGUCAGACGUGGACCCUGAAAUGACAAUCACAGCAUGAUUUCAGGCAGGAGCCUGAAAUGGUACAGCUUUGGACAUCGGUUUGGCAAAUUCUUUUAGAGAGAAACACACACCUUCCCUAGGACCCAGCAACUCCACUCCUAAUAACCAAGUGAAAUGGAAGGAGUUGUCCUCAGCAAAACGUGUGUGCGGAAGUUCACAGUCACUUUCUCGGUGAUAACCAAGAGCUGGAAACCACUGCAACACCCACCAGCAGGUGAACGGAUUAACACACUGGGCUAGGGCCACACAAUGAGAUGCUCCGUGGCAACACAAAAUGAACCGUGGACACACACUGCACGGCGGAUGAAUAUGCAGACAUCAGGCCACGUGAAGGGAGCCAGGCCCCGAGGCGCCACGCUUUGUGAUUCAGGGUGGUCCCUCUGCGCCCAAGACCCGGCUGCCUCCUCCUCUUCCUGGCUGCAGGGAGUGCUUGUGUCUGAAGAACGCCAGGCUGGUGUCCCCAGAGGGCGGCUGGAGGGGCUCAGAAACCAUUUUCACCUUCUGUCUCCUCCAUGUCUGCACUGUUUGGGAAAGAAAGCACGCAGCCAAAGAGCGCAAAGAGGCUCAGAGGAGGCCCGGGUGCCCUGGAGAGACGCUGCGUCCUGACGACACAGCAUCCCUGUCCCGCAGCGGAGAUUUCCCAGAUGAAGGAUUCCCCGGCGGGAGACAGGGCCCUGCACACAGGUCCUCUGCCACGCUGCUCACCAUGCCUGUGUGUUAUCUCCCCAUGAAAAGUCACCUAGGCCGAGCAUGGUGGCUCACGCCUGUAAUCCCAGCACUUUGGGAGGUGGAGGCGUGCGGAUCAUCUGAGAUCAGGAGUUUGAGACCAUCCUGAGUAACAUGGUGAAACCCCGUCUCUAGGAAGAAUACAAAAAUUAACUGGGCAUGGUGUCAGGUGCCUUGUAAUCCCAGCUACUCGGGAGGCUGAGGCGGGAGAAUCGCUUGAACCUGGGUGGCGGAGGUUGCAGUCACAGCGUUUGCAGCGAAGCGGCUCCCAGAGCUGGGAGGAAAGCCCCGCCUGCAGCCAAGCUCCUGCUCCACCACCCCAGGAGCUGCCGUCAUCUUCUCUCACUCAGUGGUCAUCACGGAAAGUGAAAACGACGGUGCUGCUCCUCCCACGGAGGAGAGACAAGCUCACAGCUGGUGCUGAGACCGGCCGACCUGUAAUCCCAGCUACUCAGGAGGCCAAGGCAGGAGGAUCGCUUGAGCCCUGGAGUUCAAGACCAGCCUGGGCAACACAGAGAGACCCUGUCUCAAAAAAAAAAAAAAAAAAAAAGUAAAAAACACUCUUGGGUGGGGGUGGGGAGUGGUACAAAAUCAGUGAGAGGCCCAGACGCUCACCCCUUUUCUAAAAGUUUUACAAAUAUUAACGCUUCUGAUCCUCCCGAAACCUAGUGAGGGGGCCCUAUCACUGUCCCCAUUUAACAGAUGAGGAAACUGAGGCACGGGUAGGGUUAAGUGCCCUGCCCGAGGUCCCACAGCUGGGGACCCUGGGAUUCCUCCCUGCUCCCGCCUCCCCAGCCUCUAAGAACCAGGGAUUGUGGGGCUGGGGACGAGCCUCCUGAGCAUUCCCUUAGCCCCUAACUUGAGAGCCCUCCCGGCCCAGGCGAGCUGGGACGCAGCCCUCCCCACCCCUCCCCAGCUCUCCGAUGCGCGGGUUUCCAAGCCCCUCCCUCCGCCCGGCUGUGGGUUCGCGCUCGCCGGCGGUUCCCACACUGCGCGGGCGGGCGGCGAGGGAAGCGUGCCUGGGCCCCCCCGCGGCAUUAGUGCCGGGGUCUGAGUCUGAAUGAAUGAG